rnacentral:rRNA from 1 species
GGCACCACCAGGCGUGGAGCCUGCGGCUUAAUUUGACUCAACACGGGGAAACUCACCAGGUCCAGACAAAAUAAGGAUUGACAGAUUGAGAGCUCUUUCUUGAUCUUUUGGAUGGUGGUGCAUGGCCGUUCUUAGUUGGUGGAGUGAUUUGUCUGCUUAAUUGCGAUAACGAACGAGACCUCGGCCCUUAAAUAGCCCGGUCCGCAUUUGCGGGCCGCUGGCUUCUUAGGGGGACUAUCGGCUCAAGCCGAUGGAAGUGCGAGGCAAUAACAGGUCUGUGAUGAUC